AGAGAGAGAGUGAGAAAGGGAGGAAGAAAAAGGGAGCUAGGGAGGGCGGGCUCGGGCGCCAUUAGACAUAUGCAGUGGUCAGUGUGUGUUGCGCUCAACAGCAGCAACACAGAGAGGAUAGGAUCACUUCUCAUCCUGCUCUCUAGCACUGCACUGUCUGUCUGAAGGACUCCACUGACAUAGCCAUGCUGUGGGGAUGUCAUAAGGCAUGGUAUGGAUGACACAGGGAUGCUAAUAUCCUUGGUCCAGUGAGGCUACACUAGCUGCUAGCUAAGACACCAUGGCUCUCCUGAGGUCCGUUACAGUAGCGGUAGCUUCUCUCCUCCAUUGACAUCCUCUCUUCUCCUCUUCCACCACCACUUCCUCUCUCCACUCAUCUACCCAUCCACCCUCAGCACCAUCCCUCCCCCCAUCCAUCCACCCCUACAACCUCAGCACCACCCCUCCCCCCAUCCAUCCACCUCUACAACAUCAGCACCACCGCUACAACCUCAGCACCACC
rnacentral:lncRNA from 13 species